UAGCUCCAACCCCAAUUAAGCAGACCUGAGCAGCUGAUCAAGGAUCACCAGAAACUCUGCAGAACGUUGGUCCUCCAUGCCCAGGACUGGACACCAGUGUUCUAAAUAAAACCAAAGGCCAUUCAGCCACAGGUCACUGCAUCUUUUGCUGUAUGCUGGAGAAAAAACAGCCAGGCUAAAGCAUUCAAAGUGGAAACUUCUGUCGUGGCUCAAUAAUCCAGGAUUGGGAUGGUGGAAGGAGCAGAAGAACCAGAAGAUCAGAGAUCAGGCAGAGAUCUACUGGUGCC